rnacentral:rRNA from 1 species
GUGCCUUCGGGAACUGUAAGACAGGUGCUGCAUGGCUGUCGUCAGCUCGUGUUGUGAAAUGUUGGGUUAAGUCCCGCAACGAGCGCAACCCUUAUCCUUGUUUGCCAGCACGUAAUGGUGGGAACUCCAGGGAGACUGCCGGUGAUAAACCGGAGGAAGGUGGGGACGACGUCAAGUCAUCAUGGCCCUUACGAGUAGGGCUACACACGUGCUACAAUGGCGCAUACAGAGGGCAGCAAGCUAGCGAUAGUGAGCGAAUCCCAAAAAGUGCGUCGUAGUCCGGAUUGGAGUCUGCAACUCGACUCCA